CCAUCUUGGAAUGAGCCUUCUGAAGUCUAGUGAAGCUUCUCUUGCUUCUUUUGCCAUUUUAUCAGCCAAGUUAUGCCACAACUUAUCCCUUCCUCCCACUUAUGGCUUCUUACAAAUCAAAUAUAAAUCUGUUGGAAAUUAAUUUUAAUUAACAUAAAGCACUUUCUUAGAGUUUCAAGGAAAAAUGAUGAAUAACAAAGAUUGGUAAUAUAUUUACUGAUCUUGAAGAAACCUCCAGUAAGACAGUAUAUACAGUGAAAAGAAUAUAGACUUUGAAGAGUGCUGGGUUUGAAUACCAGCUAGGGAGCGAUUUACCUUCUCUAAUCUCAAGCAACCAACACAAAUGUAGGUAACGGUGCCACCUUCUGUGUUUACUCAGUUAAUCUUCAUGUCCAAACUAGAUACCUAGCGUAACUCCUGGCCCCAUAGCAGUUCGUCGGUAGAUCUACAUUUCCUCAACCUCUCAGUGGCAGUUGGAUGUGCUUCAGGGAAAAAAAAGAAGACAAUGUGAGAUCCAGGAAAAUCAGGGACCCAACUGAAGAGUGUGAAGAAAAGGUCUUGGGUCAGAACUCUAUGUCUGCACUAGAGAACAGUUAGUCCAGGUUGGAAGGUAUAAGUGUCCUCAGGAAAAGAAUGGACUUGGUCGCUUCAACCUGUGCAACCCCAUAGACAGCAGCCCACCAGGCUCCCCGUCCCUGG